rnacentral:rRNA from 1 species
GACGUAGGGCGCGAGCGUUGUCCGGAUUUAUUGGGCGUAAAGCGCACGUAGGCGGCAUUGCAAGUCGGAUGUGAAAUCCCUCGGCUUAACCAAGGAAGUGCAUCCGAAACUGCAGUGCUUGAGUACUUAAGAGGAUCGCGGAAUUCCCGGUGUAGAGGUGAAAUUCGUAGAUAUCGGGAGGAAGGCCGGUGGCGAAGGCGGCGCUCUGGAACGUUUCUGACGCUGAGGCUCGAAAGCGUGGGGAGCAACAGG